UGGGGAAUAUUGGACAAUGGGCGAAAGCCUGAUCCAGCAAUACCGCGUGUGUGAAGAAGGCCUGAGGGUUGUAAAGCACUUUCAAUAGGAAGGAAUACCUAUCGGUUAAUACCCGGUAGACUGACAUUACCUAUACAAGAAGCACCGGCUAACUCCGUGCCAGCAGCCGCGGUAAUACGGAGGGUGCAAGCGGUAAUCGGAAUUACUGGGCGUAAAGCGUGCGUAGGCGGUUUGUUAAGUUAGAUGUGAAAGCCCUGGGCUCAACCUGGGAACGGCAUUUAAAACUGGCAGACUAGAGUUUAGUAGAGGGGAGUGGAAUUUCAGGUGUAGCGGUGAAAUGCGUAGAGAUCUGAAGGAACACCAGUGGCGAAGGCGACUCCCUGGACUAGAACUGACGCUGAGGUACGAAAGCGUGGGUAGCAAACAGG
rnacentral:rRNA from 1 species